rnacentral:rRNA from 1 species
CUUACUGUCUCUUAUAUAAUCAAUGAAACUGAUCUCCUAGUAAAAAAGCUAAGAUACACCCAUAAGACCAGAAGACCCUGUGAAGCUUAAAUUAAACUAUUAAAACCCAUAAUAGCUCCUUUCGGUUGGGGCGACCUUGGAAAAAAAAAGAACUUCCAAAUAAAGUGAACUUUACUUCACACAACUUAGGCCUACAAGCCAAUAACGACCCAGCAUAGCUGAAAAAUGAACCAAGUUACUCCAGGGAUAACAGCGCAAUCUUCUUCAAGAGCCCAUAUCAAAAAGAAGGUUUACGACCUCGAUGUUGGAUCAGGACAUCCUAAUGGUGCAGCCGCUAUUAAGGGUUCGUUUGUUCAACGAUUAAUA